UCGUAACAAGGUCUCCGUAGGUGAACCUGCGGAGGGAUCAUUACACAAAUAUGAAGGCGGGCUGGAACCUCUCGGGGUUACAGCCUUGAUGAAUUAUUCACCCUUGUCUUUUGCGUACUUCUUGUUUCCUUGGUGGGUUCGGCCACCACUAGGACAAACAUAAGCCUUUUGUAAUUGCAAUCAGCGUCAGUAACAAAUUAAUAAUUACAACUUUCAACAACGGAUCUCUUGGUUCUGGCAUCGAUGAAGAACGCAGCGAAAUGCGAUAAGUAGUGUGAAUUGCAGAAUUCAGUGAAUCAUCGAAUCUUUGAACGCACAUUGCGCCCUUUGGUAUUCCAAAGGGCAUGCCUGUUCGAGCGUCAUUUGUACCCUCAAGCUUUGCUUGGUGUUGGGCGUCUUGUCUCUAGCUUUGCUGGAGACUCGCCUUAAAGUAAUUGGCAGCCGGCCUACUGGUUUCGGAGCGCAGCACAAGUCGCACUCUCUAUCAGCAAAGGUCUAGCAUCCACUAAGCCUUUUUUUCAACUUUUGACCUCGGAUCAGGUAGGGAUACCCGCUGAACUUAAGCAUAUCAAUAAGCGGAG
rnacentral:rRNA from 1 species